rnacentral:ncRNA from 1 species
GCGCUGUAUGAAAGGAGAGAAGGUUAGCACUCCCCUUGACAAGGGUGGAAGAGGCCCUUGGGCCUGACAACACGCAUACGGUUAAGGCAUUGCCACCUACUUUGUGGCAUCUACCACUGAUUUUU